GCGUAUGAUUAGAUAGUUGGUAGGGUAACGGCCUACCAAGUCAACGAUCAUUAGGGGUUCUGAGAGGAAGGUCCCCCACACUGGUACUGAGACACGGACCAGACUCCUACGGGAGGCAGCAGUGAGGAAUAUUGGUCAAUGGGCGAGAGCCUGAACCAGCCAAGUCGCGUGAAGGAAGAAGGUUCUAUGGAUUGUAAACUUCUUUUGUAAGGGAAUAAAAAGAGUUACGUGUAACUUAUUGUAUGUACUUUACGAAUAAGGAUCGGCUAACUCCGUGCCAGCAGCCGCGGUAAUACGGAGGAUCCAAGCGUUAUCCGGAUUUAUUGGGUUUAAAGGGUGCGUAGGCGGGCCCUUAAGUCAGUGGUGAAAGUUUGCAGCUUAACUGUAAAAUUGCCAUUGAAACUGAGGGUCUUGAGUGUAAAUAAGGUAGGCGGAAUGUGUUGUGUAGCGGUGAAAUGCUUAGAUAUAACACAGAACACCAAUUGCGAAGGCAGCUUACUGGGAUACAACUGACGCUGAGGCACGAAAGCGUGGGGAUCAAACAGGAUUAGAUACCCUGGUAGUCCACGCAGUAAACGAUGAAUACUAGCUGUAUGCGAUAUACUGUAUGUGGCACAGCGAAAGCGUUAA
rnacentral:rRNA from 1 species